rnacentral:rRNA from 1 species
CAAUAGCGUAUAUUUAAGUUGUUGCAGUUAAAAAGCUCGUAGUUGGAUUUCGGGUAGGAUUUGCCGGUCCGUCUUUGAGAUGUGUACUGGUAAGUCCUAUCUUCUUGUCGGGGACCAGCUCCUGGGCUUCACUGUCCGGGACUGGGAGCCGACGAAGUUACUUUGAGUAAAUUAGAGUGUUCAAAGCAAGCCUACGCUCUGAAUAUAUUAGCAUGGAAUAACACGAUAGGACUCUGGCUUAUCUUGUUGGUCUGUGAGACCAGAGUAAUGAUUAAGAGGGACAGUCGGGGACAUUCGUAUUUCAUUGUCAGAGGUGAAAUUCUUGGAUUUAUGGAAGACGAACAUCUGCGAAAGCAUUUGCCAAGGAUGUUUUCAUUGA